rnacentral:lncRNA from 1 species
CUGCAUCUUGAAGACAAUCUGUGACUGAAACUGCUUUUGAGCCAACUCAAGUUUGAGCGGUCUCAACCAUUUUUUUGGAAGUGGUGAACCCGUUCCAAAAAUGCCAGGCUGUAAAAGCUUUUUAUUACAUUUUAAACUCAGAAUAAUCACUCAGCACUUAUCAUCAGAAGACUGAAGCUAGCUACACAUCAACUGAAAUAUUUGAAAUUUCAAAAAAUAUCCAUUUCUACUGGAAGAUUUGAGGUCCAUGAAACAAAGGGGAAAAAAGGACAACUUUGACUUCAAGGGUUUUGACACCCACCUCCGAAUGAAAUAAAUACGUGCUCUUUCUCCAGCUGUCCUAUAGUCUCACGAAAAUAUUCUGACUUGCCACCUCACAAAUUGAUUAAUUCCCACAAUGUCUUGUAGCAAUGAGUACCACAGGCUCCAUUCAAUGUGAGCUGUUUUAAAAGUGCUCCUGUGGGCCUCCCAUGUCUGAUCUGGAAGAAGAAGGUACAGACUGGAACUCUGCAAACUUGAUUCAUUGUUAUGUUUUAUUUUAUUUUCCUCUUUCUUCAUUUUGCUUAUUUUCCUUCAGCCGUGAGAGUCUCAAACUCUCAUCACAUAUAAGUUUUUUCAUGCCUUUCUCAAGUAUGUAUAUAAGUUGAAGAGCAGAAAUAGGAAGACGUAAACUAACAAGUAAGCACUUUGGCCACGGAAAAUCCUAGGCUGAUGAGUAUGAAAUGAGUGAGAAGAGAGACAUUUGCAGGAGAGAAGAGAACUGAAGUGCAAAGAUGGUGCCAGCGUUAUGAAGAGCAGAAGCAAGAGCAGGUUCACAGUUGGGAAAGGUGACAAGGGAAUUUGUGUUUGGGUUUCCUCCGUUUUGGCUGUACCUUUGAGACGUUUCUGGCGGAUCAGGCAUUUGUCAGAUGGGGAGGCACAAUUCUUCAUGGCCGGAUUUCAUCGAGCAAGGGGGAGUGGGGAAGAGGAGUGUCCCGAAGCCUUUCCCUGUGUGUGUAGUGCACUAAACGGAGGUGUGAAUGUUUGCAUACUGAACACAGAUAGCUUUGCAGCAGCCUUGCUCACCACGUCCUGAGGGCACUCACCCAGCUCCAAGGAUCACUCACCCAACUCUUUGCCUGACCUGCUCACGCCCUAAAGUUCUUCUGGAAACUGUAUUUUCUCUGCUUUAGAAAUGCAGUCUGAGUUUCUACACUUCUCAAGGCUGCUGACAGCUUGCUAUAACUAAACGAUUAAGAAGGCCCUACCUCCUCCUUCCCUUUGCCUUGCACUGAAGAACUGACUUUCUGUUCCUUGAGUCAAAUGGCUGGUGGCUCUUACAAAGCCCUCCACCAUUUUUCACUUGGAUAUAACACUCCUCCAAUCUGGGUGACAUGGUGACAGAUCACAUGUUAAAAAGAAG